rnacentral:rRNA from 1 species
UACGUAGGGGGCGAGCGUUGUCCGGAUUCAUUGGGCGUAAAGAGCUCGUAGGCGGUUCGGUAAGUCGGGUGUGAAAUCUCCGUGCUCAACACGGAGCGGCCACCUGAUACUGCCGUGACUCGAGUCCGGUAGGGGAGUGUGGAAUUCCCGGUGUAGCGGUGAAAUGCGCAGAUAUCGGGAGGAACACCAGUAGCGAAGGCGACUUCCUGGCCUGUUCUUGACGCUGAGGCGCGAAAGCUAGGGGAGCAAACGGG